GUGCUCACUUCAGCUGCACAUAUACUAAAAUUAGAAGUAUACAGAGAAGGUUAGCAUGGCUCCUGCUCAAGGAUAUCACACAAAGAAUAAUAUGGAUAUGU
ensembl:snRNA U6 U6 spliceosomal RNA